GUUAGUGAGCCAGGUUGAGAUUCUUGGUUUAUUCAGUAGUCAUUGUGGAGACAUCCAAGGGUUUUAGACUGGAGAGUGACAUCUCAAGGAUAUUGAGGAUGAGGUACUUACUUGUGGGACUUCUUGGGAGGCUGUCUGGGAGGACAAAGCAGAAGGGCUGGUGUGGAAGACAGAGGCUUUGGGGGAUUGUCAGCAGAGGUGAAGGCAGAAGCCACGUGGAACUGGUCACUCAGGGAGGGCCUGUGGCCUGAGACGAAACGGGUCAUUUUCCUGAGGGUGAGUCAGUAAAAAGACAACCUUUUGGAGCAGUUUGGCCUUGUAGGGGUGGAGACAGCUGAAAGGGGAGAAGGGAAGGACUUU
rnacentral:lncRNA from 1 species